AAGGGGUUUUUUCUUAAUUUAAAAAAAAAAAAAAACUUACUCUAGAAAUGUAUUGUUAGAGGGGAGAAUAAUUUGGUUAGGGAAUAUAUUAGGAUCACUAUUGAUUUUAAAAGGAGAUACAGGGCCCACAUGAACUCACUUUCAAAUGCCAAAUAUUCCAAUUCUAUCACAUUGGUAUCCUAUAUUCAUGAUUUGAAGAAGAGGAAUAUGA